UACGUAGGUGACAAGCGUUGUCCGGAUUUACUGGGCGUAAAGAGCGCGCAGGCGGUCGUUCAAGUCGAGUGUGAAAGCCCCCGGCUCAACUGGGGAGGGUCACUCGAUACUGAUCGACUCGAAGGCAGGAGAGGGUAGUGGAAUUCCCGGUGUAGUGGUGAAAUUCGUAGAUAUUGGGAAGAACACCGGUGGCGAAGGCGGCUCACUGGCUCAUUACUGACGCUCAGGCGCGAUAGCGUGGGGAUCAAACAGG
rnacentral:rRNA from 1 species